AUGCAAGUCGAGGGGUAACAGGGUGCUUGCACCGCUGACGACCGGCGCACGGGUGCGUAACGCGUAUACAAUCUACCUUAUAGAGGGGGAUAGCCCAGAGAAAUUUGGAUUAAUACCCCAUAGUAUUAUGAAAUAGCAUUAUUUUAUAAUUAAACAUUUAUGGCUAUAAGAUGAGUAUGCGUUCUAUUAGUUAGUAGGUAAGGUAACGGCUUACCUAGACUUCGAUAGAUAGGGGUCCUGAGAGGGAGAUCCCACACACUGGUACUGAGACACGGACCAGACUCCUACGGGAGGCAGCAGUGAGGAAUAUUGGACAAUGGGCGAGAGCCUGAUCCAGCCAUGCCGCGUGCAGGAAGACGGCCCUAUGGGUUGUAAACUGCUUUUACAGAGGAAGAAACACUCCCUUGCGAGGGAGCUUGACGGUACCCUGCGAAUAAGGAUCGGCUAACUCCGUGCCAGCAGCCGCGGUAAUACGGAGGAUCCAAGCGUUAUCCGGAAUCAUUGGGUUUAAAGGGUCCGUAGGCGGGACAAUCAGUCAGCGGUGAAAGUCUGCGGCUCAACCAUAGAAUUGCCAUUGAUACUGUUGUUCUUGAAUACUUAUGAAGUGGUUGGAAUAUGUAGUGUAGCGGUGAAAUGCAUAGAUAUUACAUAGAACACCGAUUGCGAAGGCAGAUCACUAAUAAUUUAUUGACGCUGAUGGACGAAAGCGUAGGUAGCGAACAGGAUUAGAUACCCUGGUAGUCUACGCCGUAAACGAUGGUUACUAGCUGUUCGGGAGCAAUCCUGAGUGGCUAAGCGAAAGUGAUAAGUAACCCACCUGGGGAGUACGUUCGCAAGAAUGAAACUCAAAGGAAUUGACGGGGGCCCGCACAAGCGGUGGAGCAUGUGGUUUAAUUCGAUGAUACGCGAGGAACCUUACCAGGGCUUAAAUGUAGUUUGACCGAUUUGGAAACAGAUCUUUCGCAAGACAAAUUACAAGGUGCUGCAUGGUUGUCGUCAGCUCGUGCCGUGAGGUGUCAGGUUAAGUCCUAUAACGAGCGCAACCCCUGUUGUUAGUUGCCAUCGAGUAAUGUCGGGAACUCUAACAAGACUGCCAGUGCAAACUGUGAGGAAGGUGGGGAUGACGUCAAAUCAUCACGGCCCUUACGUCCUGGGCCACACACGUGCUACAAUGGUAGGGACAGAGAGCAGCCACUGCGCAAGCAGGAGCGAAUCUAUAAACCCUAUCUCAGUUCGGAUCGGAGUCUGCAACUCGACUCCGUGAAGCUGGAAUCGCUAGUAAUCGCAUAUCAGCCAUGAUGCGGUGAAUACGUUCCCGGGCCUUGUACACACCGCCCGUCAAGCCAUGGAAGCUGGAAGCACCUGAAGUCCGUCACCGCAAGGAGCGGCCUA
rnacentral:rRNA from 1 species